AAAAGCAGCCAUAUCACACUGCAACUCACAACUGGCAGCCCACUGAAGCUCAGCAGGUGUGAGCCUGGUCAGUACCUGGAUGGGAGACCUCCUGGGAAAGCUAAGGUUGCUGCUGGAA
ensembl:rRNA 5S_rRNA 5S ribosomal RNA